GGGGAGAACAUCUAUCCAAUUAAAGUGGUAGAAUCCCAACUUUUGGAACAUGAGCUAACUAAACCCAAACUCACUGGAGAGGCAUCAAAACCUACACCUGAACCAAAUGAAAAUGCAACAGAAACUGCAGAACCUACACAUGGACCAGAAGAAACUACGUUAGAAAAUGUAGAGGAAAUUACAGUAGAAACUACAGCCCCUACAACAAAAACUGCACCAGAAAACAACGUGAAAGUGUAC
rnacentral:lncRNA from 1 species